rnacentral:rRNA from 1 species
UACCAGCACCCCCGAGUGGUCGGGACGAUUAUUGGGCCUAAAGCAUCCGUAGCCGGUCUUGCAAGUCCUCCGUUAAAUCCACCUGCUUAACAGAUGGGCUGCGGAAGAUACUAUAGAGCUAGGAGGCGGGAGAGGCAAGCGGUACUCGAUGGGUAGGGGUAAAAUCCGUUGAUCCAUUGAAGACCACCAGUGGCGAAGGCGGCUUGCCAGAACGCGCUCGACGGUGAGGGAUGAAAGCUGGGGGAGCAAACCGGAUUAGAAACCCCUUGUAGU